GAGUUUGAUCCUGGCUCAGAUUGAACGCUGGCGGCAGGCCUAACACAUGCAAGUCGAGCGGAUGACGGGAGCUUGCUCCUUGAUUCAGCGGCGGACGGGUGAGUAAUGCCUAGGAAUCUGCCUGGUAGUGGGGGACAACGUUUCGAAAGGAACGCUAAUACCGCAUACGUCCUACGGGAGAAAGCAGGGGACCUUCGGGCCUUGCGCUAUCAGAUGAGCCUAGGUCGGAUUAGCUAGUUGGUGGGGUAAUGGCUCACCAAGGCGACGAUCCGUAACUGGUCUGAGAGGAUGAUCAGUCACACUGGAACUGAGACACGGUCCAGACUCCUACGGGAGGCAGCAGUGGGGGAAUAUUGGACAAUGGGCGAAAGCCUGAUCCAGCCAUGCCGCGUGUGUGAAGAAGGUCUUCGGAUUGUAAAGCACUUUAAGUUGGGAGGAAGGGCAGUAAGUUAAUACCUUGCUGUUUUUGACGUUACCGACAGAAUAAGCACCGGCUAACCCUGUGCCAGCCGCCGCCGU
rnacentral:rRNA from 1 species